UACGUAGGGUGCAAGCGUUAAUCGGAAUUACUGGGCGUAAAGCGUGCGCAGGCGGUUUUGUAAGACAGUGGUGAAAUCCCCGGGCUCAACCUGGGAGCUGCCAUUGUGACUGCAAGGCUAGAGUGCGGCAGAGGGGGAUGGAAUUCCGCGUGUAGCAGUGAAAUGCGUAGAUAUGCGGAGGAACACCGAUGGCGAAGGCAAUCCCCUGGGCCUGCACUGACGCUCAUGCACGAAAGCGUGGGGAGCAAACAGG
rnacentral:rRNA from 1 species